AGGUCGAACAGACCUUCUUUAUAUAACCUCUUCAUUAUAUAGAUUUUUUAAUUCAACAUCGAGGUCGCAACCUUCCUUUUCGAUAAGAACUCUUAAAGGAAAUUACGCUGUUAUCCCUAAAGUAACUUAACCUACUAAUCUUCAAAAAGGAUCUUCUACAAAUUUAUCACUAAUAAUUGUAUAACUAAUUAAGCAGUUAAAAUAAAUUUUACUUAUGUCUCCCCAACAUAACAAAUAAAUUAAAUUAAAUUUUUAUAUUAUAAAUUCACUAAAAUAUAACUACAAUGUAAAGUUUUAUAGGGUCUUAUCGUCCCCCUAGUUUAUUUAAGCCUUUUCACUUAAAAGUUAAAUUCAACAUUAAUAUAAAGAGAGUUAUUCUUUUGUCUAACCUUUCAUACAAGAUUCCAAUUAAAAACCUAAUGAUUAUGCUACCUUUGCACAGUUAUUAAUACUGCGGCCCUUUAAUUCAAAUAUCAGGGGGCAGGCCAAAUUAUUUAUAACUACAAACAAAC
rnacentral:rRNA from 1 species